AUUACUAUUUUGGCAGAUAAUAUGCGUUGGAGUUAGGAUCCUAUAAAAUAGAUUAAUUCUAU
rnacentral:tRNA from 1 species